CUGAUUGAUUCUGUCAGCGUUAUAUGCUUACUUUAAAGAUUAAGCCGUGCUUGUCGAGUUAAUUUAAAGAGAAACUGCGAAGAGCUCACUAAGCAGAUAUCACUUAUUCGAAAAGUCCUUUUGGAUAACCACGGCAAUUCUGAAGUUAACACAUGCGAACAAACCCUGAUUUUGAUAUAAUGCAUAUUAAUGACGCCGAUAUUCCGAAAAAGUGUCUGCCUUAUCAACAUGAUGGUAGUCUUUUAGUCUACCAUGCUUAUCACAAGUAAUGGACAAUAAAUGUUCGAUUCCGAUGAGGGAGCCUUAGAAAAGGCUACCACAUCCAAAGAAGGCAACAGGCGCGUAACUUAUCCACUCUUGAAGAGACGAGAUAGUGACUGGGCAACAUCCUCGUUGUGUUGUGAAAUUUCUAGACCUACUACUUGUCGAGGUGAUUUACGACAGCCUAAAAU
rnacentral:ncRNA from 1 species